GCUUUUGAGUCCUGAAGUAAAAACCACUUGUUUCAGGGUAUUAACUAAGGAGUCCCUCGAGGCUGACAUGAUCCUCCAUGAACUUCUUGGUGAAGAGGUCACCAGGUUGGGGAGGAGUCAGCCCCCACCUCUCCCCACAACACCUGAGGCGCCGUCAGAGCUGUGGCCCCACCAUCAGCCUGUGAGGAAACUCUGGUGGCCAAUGGCUCCAGCCAGCACCAAGAUAUAUUUGGAACCUUUGAAAGGGGACGUGCUGACAUGCGAAUCCCAGAAAACCCUGGAAGUGGGACACCUCAUCUGAAGAUAAGUUCCCUGAGGCUGGUGUGAGUGCUGGCAGCUCCAGAGUCUCCGUGUCCAGAAGGAGCAGCUUUCUGUGCUUCAAAGACACCUUCAGGGGUUUGGAUAUUCCCAGCUGAACCCCCUUACAACCCCUGCACUUCCUUCUGUAUUUUCAACAUCAAGUUGAAGGUUUCUGGCCGAGAGAAAGGGAGGGUGGCAUUGUCCCAGGGCCCAUGUUGGAGCAGUGAAGAUGGAGGGUCAGGUUUGGGCAGGGGGCUGAGGAAUUAGCCUUGCCCCUCCAUCUGCAUUCAUCUCAUCUGGUGCUCAGCUGUUUCUACUUUCCCCCUUCCCUUUUCCUUAUUUAAGCUGCAUUUUCAUGCUGUGCUGAUAAGAAAGAGGAAGCCUGGAGCGUUGGUGGGUGGUUUGGUGGCUGGGUGUCUGCAUCUCCCCCUCCACCAGCUGCUGCAGUACAGACAUCAUGGACAGAGUGGUCCAGCAAAGCCUCUUUCCAAAACAAACACCCUGAGUCCCCCUGCAAUGGCCUGGUGGGAUGUCAGGAUCCAGAACUCGAUAAAUUCAUGGGAAAAUGAAAUAAAUUCGUGGAAAUACGAUGGUGUGUCUCCUGGAAUAGAUGACUCACAGUGUUCAUGGCUGAACCUGCAGCAGCAGGUGAGACAUACAAUGUGCUCUGUGAGCAGCUGAUGCCCAUCUGGAGUAGCUGGCAUCAGUGAAGCUGUUACAAAGCUACACGAGCAGGACUGGUCUUCUCCCCAGACAAGAAAAGGAUUUUCCCCUAUUCCUGCUCCAGUGAUGGAAAGGCUGAGGUGUGUGCAGGAGUUCACGGGCCGUGCUCUGCAGUGUUUUGUGUCUGCCCACCUCCCAAAGUGUUCAGUAUACCCACAAGGCUCCCCUCUGUGCUGCUGAAACCCCUCCAGCUGUCUCGCACAGAUGCCCGUUGAGGUGACCAGGGGGGUUAAUUGACUCUGACAAAUAUUUACCUGUUUCCCUGGGUUUGCAGAAACCUCCUCCAGCCCCAGCUUUGAAGUGCAGUUCAAAGCCCCAGCAGUGCUGACGUCGUGGGAGGAUCGAGCUCUCCCCAGCGUGGAAAAACUCUCCUCUGAAAGGAGGGAAACUGCAUCCCCCAUCCUCCUCCUGGGGCACCAGUGCAGUCCUGGCAUUUUCCAUCCUCUCACAGCACCCUGCUCAUCUUCCCACCCCAGAGCAAGGUCUGCUUUGCCAGUU
rnacentral:lncRNA from 12 species